rnacentral:lncRNA from 1 species
CGCAUAGUCUUGUAGUAUGAAUAAACUAAGUCAUUAUUGUUGAUAAACCUGUAGUAAGAUCUUACUACAAAAGUACCAUUAUAACAGUACUAUGGGUGUGUUGGUUUGCAAUCGAAAUUAGAAUCGGAAUGAAUUAGAAUGAGCAUCAUAAUGAAUGUAUCACUUUUUGUUUAGUUCGUGAUAGAAAUCAGAAUUAAAAUAGAAUUUGAAUAUCAGAAAAGAAUAGAAUUUGAGUUUUGGAGGAUUGGGUUGUUUCCAUCCUUUCUUCGAAUCAAAGUGGGACCCC